UCUAUUUCACAGUUGCAUGUUGGAUAUGCAUUGGGGGAGAGAUAAAUAACUAGUACCCAGACGGCCGGUACCUUCAAGCAGAGGCCCUACAGCGUGGCUGUACCUGCCUUCUCCCAGGGUCUAGAUGACUACGGAGCACGGGCUGUGAGCAGGAACCCCUUUGCCAGCGUCCAGCUGAAGCCGACCGUGACCAAUGACAGGUCUGCACCCCUCCUCAGCUGACGGCCAGGCCCCCACCGCUGCCCGCUGGGCCCCUGCUCCACACCCGCACGCAGACCCUCUUUUGUAACAGUCUGCGUGCUCCCCGCUCCGAGAAAGAACCUUCCCCUCCCUGCAAGCCUUCACCUGCCCGGCUCUGCCCUGCUGCAGCCUGGCCUGGGCUGGACCCCGGCCGUUGCUUCGGAGGCGUCCCCGGGCCACGGCCCCCGGGGCAGGGAAGGACGUCGGCCUGUAGCUGGAAGGGGAGCACGGNAGAAAUCAAGAAGAUUUUUAAAACUCUAAAGAAUAUGAAAGUGCUUAGUUUUUUUUUUUUUUUUUAAAGAUUUUAUUUAUUUAUUCUUGAGAGAUAGAAGGGGAGACAGAGCCAGAGACACAGGUAGAGGGAGAAGCAGGCUCCAUGCACCGGGAGCCCGACGUGGGAUUCGAUCCCGGGUCUCCAGGAUCGUGCCCCGGGCCAAAGGCAGGCGCCAAACCGCUGCGCCACCCAGGGAUCCCUCUGAUAGCUUUUCAAAUAAGAAAUUUAUAAUGCCAAAUAUGUCUGUUAUCCAAUCAUAAAGCAUGAGUACAACCCUGGACUUUUCUUCUUCGAAAGACGGAGAGGAGAGGCCUUUGAGUAUAAAAUGGAGGAGAGUGAGGAUGAGAAAAGGAAGAACUAGCAUUGUCUAGUGAUAUGAGAUGUACAUGUCACAUACUUCUGAGUUACAGUGGCUUGAACUUCAUUCAGGGGCAUUCACAACCACUAUAAUCAGAAAACUUCUUAAGCAUCAUGGAGAAAACCCUGAACACCAGCAGAUGUAUGUGAAUGGAGAAUAUGACAGAGAAGGGACAAGAAAUCUCAGUGUCAUAAAUGGUCAAUCUACUCUUAACUGAGCCCUCCAACUAUAUCAACACCUGAUUCUAAUGACAACUAAUCUUGUGACAUUAAUGAAAAUGCCUGUGUAUCUGUAAAUGAAUCAGAAGCUUCUGUUUAGUAAGGACUCCAGAACUUUGACAGAGGAAGUGCUAUGGAAAGAAAUGUUCUAGGAACUAGGAAAAUUAUGUAGCAGACACAAUAUUUUGAUUUAGAUUGUGUGUUUACUUAUGGUGGCUGGAGGAAGGGUAGCCUGGUCUUGGAGAUUUUCAGUAUUCUAAUGUCCAUCUCCCUCCCUAGGCCAUACUUUGAGUUCUCCCUGCCUUUGUCCUUAAAAAUAAUAAAGAGACUCAUCUUGGGUGCCUUGAAAUGACA
rnacentral:lncRNA from 1 species